rnacentral:rRNA from 1 species
CAGCAGCCGCGGUAAUACGUAGGGUGCGAGCGUUAAUCGGAAUUACUGGGCGUAAAGCGUGCGCAGGCGGUUGUGUAAGACAGAUGUGAAAUCCCCGGGCUUAACCUGGGAACUGCAUUUGUGACUGGCGGGCUAGAGUAUGGCAGAGGGGGGUAGAAUUCCACGUGUAGCAGUGAAAUGCGUAGAGAUGUGGAGGAAUACCGAUGGCGAGGCAGCCCCCUGGGCCAAUACUGACGCUCGUGCACGAAAGCGUGGGGAGCAAACAGGAUUAGAUACCCCAGUAGUCCCUGUCUCUUAUACA